GUGGUAUUUUUGUACAGGGUGAUGCCAAAACAGUGCCUUUUGUUGACUGGUAAACAUUCCUUCAGUUACUAAAAUGCCUUUUUCUUUAAUUUCAGCUGGUUGCAUGGUGUGUACUGCAGAUAACUUCUCGACUUAAUCCUGAUCCUAAGCUGAUGUGAUACUUUAGUUAAUUCGAGAGGCUACAUGUAUAUAGGCCCAGUACGUCGACAUCAUUGAUCCGGCAGUGAACAAGAUAAGUGGUUCAGCCUCCAAGAUGUGUCACCAGAAAUGCAACCGACAUUAUAGACAGGCGUGAUUACUACUCUGAUUUUGGACUGAUGGUAUACUCGUCUUCAAAAUGGACCUGACUAGGAAUGAUGAUGGUGACUUCCCUCCUCAGAAAAAAGCUCGGUUGGAUUC